rnacentral:miRNA from 1 species
GCAGACACAUUACAGCCAAUCAGCAGCAGACCCUCCCUCCCAGACCCUCCCAACUCCUGGACAGCAUCCAUUUUACAUUCAUUGUGAAGCUGCAUUCUUAGUGAGCUGUCCAGGAGGUGGGAGGGUCUGGGAGGGAGGGUCUGAUGCUGAUUGGCUGGAAUGUGUCU